rfam:Plasmodium coatneyi strain Hackeri chromosome 1, complete sequence.
AAAAUAUAAGGCAGAAGGGCAUAUCCACUGAAAAUUAAAAAAUUAAGUGGAAGAAAAGAAAAUAACAAUGAUUCCUUUAGUAACGCCGAGUGAACAAGGAAAAGCUCAAGCUGAAAAUCUUUCAAUAGAAAGAGGACACCUUACGGGGGUGACUUUUCCUCUUUUCUGUAAAGAGUUGUAGCAUUAUAAAUGAGAGAUGAUUAUAUAGUAUUACUAGUUGGUUUACAUAAAUAUAUAGCAUAUCAGUAAACUUCCUUGAAAAUUUUAAAACCAUAUUUUAUUUUACAAGAAAACGAAAUUUUUUAAAUGCAGGAUAGCAUUCCCAUAGAGGGUGAAAGGCCCGUAGGUUUCUGUAAAUAAGUAUGUAAAAGAGUGUAGUCUGGGGGGCGCAGCGGAGAAAGAUCUUUUCCCCCUCCCCAUUCUAUAUCUCUUUAUUUUUCUCGGAUAUCUUUCAUUUAAGAGUUGUGUUCAUGAAAUUGGAGCACUAAUAUAUGUGAUGCAUGGGAAGGGUUUUUUGGUGGUGCUGUGGGUUUUUGGUCUGUCCUACACGAGGCUUUGCCUGUACCGAUGAGUGUGCAGGGGGAGUAAGGUACGGAUAGAAUCAUAACUUAUACACGGUGGUACGCCCCCUUCUUUCAACCUUUUUUUUCUUUUUUAAGGAUAAAUUGUUGUUGUUUAAUCACAUAAAGCUAAAUAUUCGUAGGAGACCGAUAGCAAACAAGUACCGUAAGGGAAAGAUGAAAUAGUACUCAGGAAUGAGCGAUUAAAUAGUACCUGAAAUCGUUAAGGUGGAACGGAUUAAGGAAGAGAAAAAGUAAGGUAAAACGUUUCCUUCUUUCGGCUUGCUUUCUCUAGGUGUCACAUCUGCCACUGGAACUGGUUCUUCCAGAGUUUGAACAGAGUAUUAUAUACCUGCUUUCUUACCAGCGCGAGACACUUCGCAGUGGGUUCCCUGGCACAGAGACAUGACUGGGGAAUGUGGAACGGUUAUCUUAUUUAAAGAAACAUCAGUGAAGGCUAUUUUUUUUAUUUUAGGGGACGUUGCAGAGUGCGAAGCGGACACGGGGAUGUGGGGGAGAAAAAAGGAAAGAAGGAGAAGGAGGCACACAUAUAUGUACAUAUAUAUAUAUAUAUACUAUUGGGUGUUUGAUACCCACUUCGUGUGGUGUUUUCUUCCCCAAUUGUAAUGUAUAUGUAUGUAUGUAUGUGUGUGUGUGUUUUUUUUUCUUUUCUUUUUUUGACCUCUUCCCCCGGUUUUCCCCCUGGCUAAGGAGGGGCGACACAAUAAUUUGUGAUAAAUUUCACAUUGAUAUUAUGUCGGUUUCGCCACACAGUUGAAGGAACUUUUUGCUCUCUCCACUGUGUAAGCACGUUAUUCCCCCCUUUACUGAGGUAGUUUUAGAAAAUAGUAAAAAAGCGGAUGCGAAAGCGGACCUUUUUACUUUUUUAAGAUGUUUCUAAAAAGGUCUUCCUUAACCCACUCGUCUUGAAACACGAACCAAGGAGUUUAGCAGAUAUGCAAGCGAACGUGACAACAUGUAUAUGUGAAGUGAUUAAACAUACGACUGAGGUGCUUAGUAGUGGUGCCCAUGAGCUAAGCGAAACGCACCAAAGCAAGUUUUCGCGUUGUGGUUUUAAAUAGAUCGCCUUUGUAGAUUUGAAAUCCCUAUCUCGUGUUGUGUUUAUAUAUAAACCAACGGAAAGAAAAAAAGAACGAGCCGUGGAAUUUAAUGCAUACAAUUACGGUAAAAGUUAGUAAUCUAAUUGUUGCUUAACUACCGUAGGAGCAUAUAUGCUAGGACCCGAGAGGCUUUGAACUAAAAGUCGCGUUGAAGUCCAGAAUUUGCCACAUGAAUUUCAACUGGGAGGGUUGUUAUUUCAUUUUGUGUGCAUUUAGGAUAGUUCACAUCAACCGCGCUUUUAGGGGUACACGUAUCCAAUGAACACGUGCGUUGCCUUAACUGAAAAGCCUAUUAGCUGGUUAUUUUCGAAAGAUCUCUCAGGAUCGCUGGAGUUGAUUGUUAUAAUUUUACCAGGUAGAGACAAUGAUUAAAGGACUCAGGGAAAUGUAUUUCCCUUGACCUAUUCUCAAACUCCCAAUGGGUAAGAAAAGGGGCUAAAAUAACUUUAUUGUAUUUUUGUCCAUUAAAUGAAAUAACUCCAAGUGGGCCACUUUUGGUAAAGCAGAACUGGCAAUGAGGGAUGAUCCUAAUGCCUGGAUAAGGUGCCUAAAUAUUCGCUCAUGAGAUCCCAUAAGAAGGUGUUGAUUCGUGAUAACAGUAGGACGGUACUCAUAGAAGUUGAGAUCCGCUAAGAAGUGUGUAACAACUCACCUACCGAAUGAACUAGCCCUGAAAAUGGAUGGCGCUAAAGCGGAUUACCGAUACCAGGCCAUAAAAGAAGCACAAUGGAAUAUUUUCAUUCUGUAACACUUUUAUGAGUAGAAAAUCGUGGGGUUUUGUGCAGAAGCGAAAUACGUGAGUAUUCGUGGAACAUAUCCCUAGUGCAGAUCUUGGUGGAAGUAGCAAAUAUUCAAAUGAAAUACUUUGAAGGGCCUAUCAAGUAUAAUUAAAUCGUAUUGUUAUACGGAUAAACUUUCCAAAUGCCUAUUGCCAUAUCCUCCUUAUGGAACCAACAUGGUAGCCGCUCCCCCGGAAUCACCUUUUUUUUGCUUCCAAACUUCAUACGAAGGGAGGAAACAAAAAAAAAGUGCAUUUGUGAAUAGUGCGGAAGGUUUCGCAAAAGACCCGCUAAGUGCAAAAUUGUCUUCAUAGAUUUAUUGCGCACUGUGGUUGAGCGUUUCCUUUUCUGCUUUUUCAGUUUCGCGGGGAAAUCAGGUUUAUAAACCCUGAGCAAUUAAUUUUUCGAGCUCAUACUUAAAGCUGGCGACAGGAUUAUUUUUUAUAAUUUUUGAAAUUCUAUCGAAGAUGAUUCUCUCCCAUCGGUGUGCAGAUAGGUGUGCGUAUACUGUUGUUUGUGGUAAAUAAAUAUUUUAUAUUUUUUUGCUGCUUUCAUCUGGUACUACCCAUCCCCUGAUGCAUAGCCUGCAAAAUAUAAGUGAAGCAAAAUCUCGGAGUACAGGUUGCUUUUAAACCUUGCGUAGAUGAGAGUGCAUAUAUUUGCAGAAUUGUUACAAAUUUUUUUAAUUUGUGAACAUAGUAUGUUAAAUAUAAUGCCGUUUUUGCUGAAGCCUUUGGAACGGGAUAGGGAAAUGGAGAAGUAAAAAAAAAAAAAAAAAAAAAAAUGAAAAAAAUAUCAUAAAUAAAAUUAAGCAUAGGUAUGAGGUUACUUCUGAAGUGUUUUACUUCUAUGUUGUUCCUCUCUUGUAAGUCUUAAUUUCAUUUUUGAUUUGCUGCUUUUUUCAUUUUUUUUUUUUUUUUUUUUUUUUACAUGUCUCGUCUUCCCAAUGCUGCUUUCCCAUGUAUUCCUUUGUGCGCACUAUAAUAGGCCUAAUUCGCAGUAUAUUUAUAUACGCAGUCGAAUUAUCCUUUUGGAAGGGUUGUCGUGUGUAAAAUGGUAGAAAUUGAAAAACAACGAAUCAUGUUACUAUAAGUAACCUGUCAGGGGUUUCCUAGGCGCUUAUGACCUGCGGGUCUCUGUCGUUUGUAGAUGCAUCCGUUUCAGGUAGACGGUACCAUGUAUGGUGAUGGAUUUUAUCCUCAUCUAUUCGUGUGCUCGAUUAAUUAAACUAAAGUAGUAUCUGUGGGCAGGAAUUUUUUAUCCACGCAACGGUUGAUAGCCAUAGGCCUUAAAGUUUACAACUUAUAGAUAGAGAGCAAGUCGUAUGAGGGGAGUAAGAAAACUGCAGCAGGGGGAUAUAUGAUUGUUGCGGUGGUAAGGAGUGCUACAUAUUGUAGUAAUAUACAUAUAUGUAUCGCGUCUUACCACCAGAACAGUUAUAUUUCCCCCUCUCAGCCGUAACUUUUUUCUUUUAUAAGAGGAAGUUUGCUCUGAUAACAUAGGAACGGGGCUACUAUAUAUAAAAAAGGGCGAAAUGGAACAUAGAGAAUUGGGAUCAGGUAUAAGGGACAUGUAAAGGGGUCUCUAUCCGUCUAGUUCGUCGGUUUUUUAUAGCCUGUCAGCAUCGUUCACCGUUUUGGUUAAGCUGUGCAGAUAUUGUGGCUUGAGAAAAAUAACAUAGGGAGUAGAAAUUCUAUGACCUGUACUAUUAUGUCUCCCAUUAUUGAUGCUAAAGCUUGCUAUGUAUUAUCAGAGCUGGAUCGGAACAAGAAUAAAAUGAGAAGGGGGGAAAUUACAAAAUCUACCCGGUUGUAUAGGAAAAUCAUGUGUCAUUGGUUUUUUAUGACCUCCUAAAGGGGAGAAAAGAAGAACCGAAGAGAUGACCGUUUCUGUCCGAUGCUUAGGGAUUGUGUCCUUUGGUAGAUAUUCCCCAUAAACGGUAGUGGUAAGCACAGGUGCACGUAUACACUCAUGCAUAUUAGGUUAUGCUUUAAGUGUAGCUGCUGCUUCCUGUAUUUUUACCCUUCCGUGGCAAAGGCCAGGAUUCAUAAAAAAGUGAAAUUCCUAUGCCAAUCAGAGUUGUGCCAUUUUGCACCCUGCAAUUUGAUACGUGAAUUUGAAUGGAGUAACCUCACCCAAAUGUAUAAGAGAGGGGGGUAGAUUUUCCCAGUACUUCUUGUGCUCAUCCCUCUACUAUAAAAUAUACUUGCUAUCUAGCGAAACCGCAUCCAAGGAAAAACAGGCUUGGAAUGUCAGUAAAGGAUAUUGAAGACCUUGUAUGUGUAACUUGGCUCUUACUUUGAUCUGCUGAACGACUCAAGAGGUGUAGAGAAUAUUUAUAUAAGUGGGAGUAGAAGCAUAAUUUUGCGCUGGAGAAAUUAUGCAUUAUACGACAGUGAAAUACCACUACUUUUGAGGCUGUUCAGCUAACCCGUUAAAAAGAUUGGGAGGGGAGUGCCUGCAACACUAUUAGAGAGAAGUUGCUUUGGGAUACUUUUUCUAUAAACGUGCACAAAUGUGUGUAUGAGAAAUGGGGAAGGGGUUUAAAAAAUGAAUAACCCUUUUGGUUGAUUUUUUUUUUUUUUCCCCUCUUCAUCCCCCCAGUUAAACGGAGACACAUCAAGGUGAAGAGUGCAGCGAGCGGAUGAUGCGAGGGCCCAACUGAUAAGGAGUGAAAAGCAGAUUGACCAGUCGAGGGCAAGCUCAAGGAGAACAGAAAUCUCCUGUAGACCGGAAAAAGAAAAAACGGAUAUGUUUGCUUUUAUGUGUAGCUAUGAUUGUUAUGCAUACUCAUCCUCGCAAGAUAUAUUUUUUCCCCUUUUUACAUUUAAAGAAAGGCAGAAUUAGCUCCUUAUAUGUACCAAAUGUUUAGAAGGGUUUAUCUGAGAAAGGUUACUACACAGGGAUAACUGGCUUGCGGCUACCGAGCGAUUUUAGCGACGUGGCUUUUUGAUAAUUGAAUGAAGGCUCUUCCUAUCAUUGGGACGCAGAAGUCUCAAAGUGUCGGAUUGUUCACUCCGCUAAGAGGGAACGAGUGCCUAGAAUUUAGAGACCUUCAUGAGACAGGUCAUAUUGAAAAAAAAAUCCUUACUGAUGAAACUAACAUAAGAGACUGAUAUUAUAUCGUCUAUCAAAAUGUGACAGUAGGCCAUCUUAGUACGAGAGGAAUGGUUGGCCCAGACAAUUGGUACAGCAAUUGGUUGACAAACCUUUGUUGCGAAGCUAAGUCUGUUGGAUAAUGGCUGAACGCCUCUUAAGCCAGAACCCAUGCUGAUUAAUUAUUUUGUGUUCGAUUUUCCUUACACUACUUUUUUUACGAUUGUAAAGAAGGACAAUAUAUAUGAACCCAUAUUUUUAUAUGAAUUCAUAAAUAAUCCCUUUAGGGCGAAUUUUGGCUAGAUAUGUACUUUCUCCGGUACAUUGUGUCAAAUGAGCUUUUAACUGCUGAAUACAUAAGGAAAACCUUUUUUGUUUGUAUACCACAUUGCUGUUCUCCGGGUGCUGUAAACAUGAAAGUAAACUUUGUUUUACGAUCUGUUGAGGCUCAUCCUGGGUGAUCAUUUUU